GAUGAACGCUGGCGGCGUGCCUAAUACAUGCAAGUCGAGCGAACAGACGAGGCGCUUGCUCCUCUCACGUUAGCGGCGGACGGGCGAGUAACCCGGGGAUAACCUAUCUAUAACACUGCGAUAACUUAGUGCCACCGGCGCCAAUACCGGGUAAUCUAUUGAACCGCCUCGCUCAAUACUGUAGGACGGUUUUGCGGUCUCUUAUCGAGUGAUUCGGGUCGCAUUAGCCAAUGGGUAAGGUAACGGCUUAGCAAGGCAACGAUGCGAAGCCGCCCUGAGAGGCUGAUAGGCCACACUGGAACUGAGAGACGGUGCGGACGCCUACGGGAGGACGCAGUAGAGAAUCUUCGGCAAUGGGCGAAUGCCUGACGGAGCAACGCCGCGUGGGUGAUGAAGGUAUGCGGAUCGUAGGACUCUGUUAUUAGGGAAGAACAAAUGUGUGAGUAACUAUGCACGUCUUGACGGUACCUAAUGAGAAAGCACCGGCUAACUACGUG
rnacentral:rRNA from 1 species